rnacentral:rRNA from 1 species
CCCCACUGCUAUCGAGGUGGGACCUAAGCCAUGCUAGUCGAACGAACUUUAUGUUAGUGGCACACUGCUCAGUAACACGUAGCUAACCUACCCUUAGGACGAGGACAACCCCGAGAAAUUGGGGCUAAUCCGCGAUAGGUGUGAUGUCCUGGAAUGGUAUCACGCCCAAAGGUGUUCGCACGCCUAAGGAUGGGGCUGCGGCCGAUCAGGCAGUUGGUGAGGUGACGGCUCACCAAACCUUUGACCGGUACGGGCCAUGAGAGUGGUAGCCCGGAGAUGGACACUGAGACAAGGGUCCAGGCCCUACGGGGCGCAGCAGGCGCGAAACCUCCUCAAUGCACACACGUGCGAAGGGGUUACCUCGAGUGCCAUCUGAAGAAGGUGGCUUUUCCAUGGUCUAAAAAGCCUAGGGAAUAAGAGGGGGGCAAGACUGGUGUCAGCCGCCGCGGUAACACCAGCCCCUCGAGUGGUAGGGAUGAUUAUUUGGCCUAAAGCGUCCGUAGCCGGCCGGAUAAGUCUCCCGUUAAAUCCAGCGUCUCAAGCGUUGGACUGCGGGAGAUACUGUCUGGCUAGAGAGUGGGAGAGGUGUACGGUAUUCUGGGGGUAGGGGCGAAAUCCUUUGAUCCCCGGAGGACCACCAGUGGCGAAGGCUGUGCACUAGAACACGUCUGACGGUCAGGGACGAAAGCUGGGGUAGCGAACCGGAUUAGAUACCCGGGUAGUCCCAGCCGUAAACGAUGCACGCUAGGUGUUGGGUCGGCCACGAGCCGCCCCAGUGCCGCAGGGAAGCCAUUAAGCGUGCCGCCUGGGGAGUACGGCCGCAAGGCUGAAACUUAA